rnacentral:miRNA from 1 species
AAGGAGAAUCUUUGUCACUUGGU